rnacentral:rRNA from 1 species
GGGAUUGCCUCAGUAACGGCGAGUGAAGCGGCAACAGCUCAAAUUUGAAAUCUGGCGCCUUGGGCGUCCGAGUUGUAAUUUGUAGAGGGAGUCUCGGGUUAAGGGUCGGUCCAAGUGCCUUGGAACAGGAUACCGAAGAGGGUGAGAGUCCCGUAUCCGGCCGACGCCAGCGCCCGUGUGAGGCCCCUUCGACGAGUCGAGUUGUUUGGGAAUGCAGCUCUAAAUGGGUGGUAAAUUCCAUCUAAAGCUAAAUACUGGCCAGAGACCGAUAGCGCACAAGUAGAGUGAUCGAAAGAUGAAAAGCACUUUGAAAAGAGAGUCAAACAGUACGUGAAAUUGUUGAAAGGGAAGCGUAUGUGGGCAGACUUGGACGCUGGAUUCAGGCCGYCUUCUGGCGGGUGUAUUUUCCAGCGGACAGGCCAGCAUCGGUUCUGAGGGCCGGACAAAGACGAAGGGAAUGUGGCUCCUCUCUGGGGAGUGUUAUAGCCCGGCGUGCAAUGCGGCCACUUGGGACCGAGGACCGCGCAUUUGCAAGGAUGCUGGCGUAAUGGCCUCAUACGGCCCGUCUUGAAACACGGACCAAGGAGUCUAACAUCUAUGCGAGUGUUUGGGUGUCAAGCCCGGGCGCGCAAUGAAAGUGAACGGAGGUGGGAGUCUGUGUUAGAGCGGAUGCACCAUCGACCGAUCCUGAAGUAUUCGGAAGGAUUUGAGUAAGAGCAUAGCUGUUGGGACCCGAAAGAUGGUGAACUAUGCGUGAAUAGGGUGAAGCCAGAGGAAACUCUGGUGGAGGCUCGCAGCGG